UACGAAGGGGGCUAGCGUUGCUCGGAAUCACUGGGCGUAAAGCGCACGUAGGCGGCUUCUUAAGUCAGGGGUGAAAUCCUGGAGCUCAACUCCAGAACUGCCUUUGAUACUGAGGAGCUUGAGUCCGGGAGAGGUGAGUGGAACUGCGAGUGUAGAGGUGAAAUUCGUAGAUAUUCGCAAGAACACCAGUGGCGAAGGCGGCUCACUGGCCCGGUACUGACGCUGAGGUGCGAAAGCGUGGGGGAGCAAACAGG
rnacentral:rRNA from 1 species